CCUACGGGAGGCAGCAGUGGGGAAUAUUGCACAAUGGGCGAAAGCCUGAUGCAGCAACGCCGCGUGAAGGAAGACGGUUUUCGGAUUGUAAACUUCUAUCAAUAGGGAAGAAAGAAAUGACGGUACCUAAAUAAGAAGCCCCGGCUAACUACGUGCCAGCAGCCGCGGUAAUACGUAGGGGGCAAGCGUUAUCCGGAUUUACUGGGUGUAAAGGGAGCGUAGACGGCGGUGCAAGCCAGAUGUGAAAGCCCGGGGCUCAACCCCGGGACUGCAUUUGGAACUGUGCUGCUAGCGUGUCGGAGAGG
rnacentral:rRNA from 1 species